rnacentral:rRNA from 1 species
CCUACGGGUGGCAGCAGUGAGGAAUAUUGGUCAAUGGGCGCGAGCCUGAACCAGCCAAGUCGCGUGAGGGAUGACGGUCCUACGGAUUGUAAACCUCUUUUGCCGGGGAGCAAGCGUGCGUUCGUGAACGCGCGUCGAGAGUACCCGGAGAAAAAGCAUCGGCUAACUCCGUGCCAGCAGCCGCGGUAAUACGGAGGAUGCGAGCGUUAUCCGGAUUUAUUGGGUUUAAAGGGAGCGUAGGCGGGUUGUUAAGUCAGUUGUGAAAGUUUGCGGCUCAACCGUAAAAUUGCAGUUGAUACUGGCAUCCUUGAGUACAGUAGAGGUAGGCGGAAUUCGUGGUGUAGCGGUGAAAUGCUUAGAUAUCACGAAGAACUCCGAUUGCGAAGGCAGCCUGCUGGACUGUAACUGACGCUGAUGCUCGAAAGUGUGGGUAUCAAACAGGAUUAGAUACCCUAGUAGUC